UGCAACAGUGCCGCCGUGCAGUGCAUAACACAACACCCAUUACUCAGGGACAUCUGCCUCCGUAGGGAGCUUCUAGUGGUGUACGCGCCUCAAUUCUGCCGCUAUGAUCAACAUUUUAGGCGACUCAAUCCCCAGGACCACAGGAGACCCCGGAACUAAGAAAGGAAUGCACAGGCUUUGAACUCCAAGGUUGGGAUAGUGUCUGUUCUUCUGUUCUGGCCAUUGUCUUCCCAACACUGUGGGAGAUUUGGCAGCUGCCUAAGGUUCACGGCAUACUCGUCAUUCACGAGAUGGGUCUGGGGAUA